rnacentral:rRNA from 1 species
GACGAACGCUGGCGGCGUGCUUAACACAUGCAAGUCGAACGGAAAGGCCCAGCUUGUUGGGUGCUCGAGUGGCGAACGGGUGAGUAACACGCGGGUGAACUGUCCCUAACUCUGGGAUAAGCCUGGGAAACUGGGUGUAAUAUCGGAUAGGACAAUCGCUGAGUGUUGGUUGUGGAUAGAUUUUUUGGUUGGGGAUGGGUGCGCGGCCUAUCAGCUUGUUGGUGGGGUAGUGGCUUACCAAGGCGUCGACGGGUAGCCGGCCUGCGAGGGUGGACGGCCACAUUGGGACUGAGAUACGGCCCAGACUCCUACGGGAGGCAGCAGUGGGGAAUAUUGCACAAUGGGCGCAAGCCUGAUGCAGCAACGCCGCGUGGGGGAUGACGGCCUUCGGGUUGUAAACCUCUUUCGCCAGGGACGAAGCGUUAGUGACGGUACCUGUAUAAGAAGCACCGGCUAACUACGUG